AUGGUGGCGGUUUGCAGCUGGAACAGGGGAAUCGAAGGCGUUCGAGCGGUCGGUGUGGAGGACGGCCUCACAGUGAGUUCUGCGGAAGGAUUUGUCUCGCGACGGGGUGUGGGACGAGAACGGCGGAUCGAGCCACGAUUCACGGUCCUGGAGAUCAAUGACAGAUGUAUGGUUGCAUCGAGCGGAAUGACGGUGGGCCGUGCGUGGAUGUAG